ncrna:unclassified sequences manA RNA
UGUUGGACGCAACAUGGGAGUGACCGAAUAAACUUACUGGCAACCGCUAGUUAAGGUGAUGAGUCAGAGGUGGUGCUCGCUGUCAGGAAUGGCAGAACUACUCAACCAAGUAGGACUCAGGCAAUAACGUAUUUUACUACUGUAGUAAUGCCCGUUAUUUGUUGGUAUACAGGAAUCCAACCUCCCUCCUU